AACGAACGCUGGCGGCAGGCUUAACACAUGCAAGUCGAACGGGUGCAGCAAUGCAUCAGUGGCAGACGGGUGAGUAACACGUGGGAACCUUCCUAGGGGUACGGAACAACUCAGGGAAACUUGAGCUAAUACCGUAUACGUCCGUGAGGAGAAAGAUUUAUCGCCCUUAGACGGGCCCGCGUCGGAUUAGCUAGUUGGUGGGGCAACGGCCUACCAAGGCGACGAUCCGUAGCUGAUCUUAGAGGAUGAUCAGCCACACUGGGACUGAGACACGGCCCAGACUCCUACGGGAGGCAGCAGUGGGGAAUCUUGGACAAUGGGCGCAAGCCUGAUCCAGCCAUGCCGCGUGAGUGAAGAAGGUCUUCGGAUUGUAAAGCUCUUUUGCCAGGGACGAUAAUGACGGUACCUGGAGAAUAAGCCCCGGCAAACUUCGUGCCAGCCGCCGCAGUAA
rnacentral:rRNA from 1 species